UUUUGGAUUUCCUAAAAGUUCCACUUUUGAAUUUCUUUCAAUUUAAUUUCUCACAAUCCUUGCUUCCUUGUUUCCUUGUUUCCUUGUUUCCUUGGUUCUCGUCUCAACCCUAAACCUAGAAACCUAGAAAUCAAAUAUGUUCCAAAAUUUUAAUGAAUAAAUACGAGUAGAACUCAUUCAGCACGAGGGGGGAUCGAGAAAGAGGGGAAAGAAGAGAUAGAUUAGUGGUCGUUGCGGUAGACAAGGACAAAUACAGCCUGCAAGCUCUCCACUGGGAUGUUGAUAAUUUCCUCAUCAGAGGCCAAACCUUGAGGCUCGUUCAUGUUCUUCAUAAACCAAUCAGCCCUGUUAAUCCAGAUGAUGGUAGCGUUGUUAUUGAUCCACAAGUUGUCAGAACAUGGACUUCUUCCUUCGACUUCGAAGCUUAUGCGCCCGUAAACAGAUACAGUGUGAAGCAGUUGUACUAGAGGAUUCAGAUGUUGCAAAAGCACUUGUCGGAUAUGUUCACCAAUAUGAAAUUGAAACUCUGUUUGUUGGUGCAGCAUCAAAGACUGGAAUUUCAAUG